UACGGGGGGGGUAAGCGUUGUUCGGAAUUACUGGGCGUAAAGGGCUCGUAGGCGGCCAACUAAGUCAUACGUGAAAUCCCUCAGCUUAACUGGGGAACUGCGUGUGAUACUGGAUGGCUUGAAUUCGGGAGAGGGAUGCAGAAUUCCAGGUGUAGCGGUGAAAUGCGUAGAUAUCUGGAGGAACACCGGUGGCGAAGGCGGCGUUCUGGACUGCAACUGACACUGAGGAACGAAAGCCAGGGGAGCAAACGGG
rnacentral:rRNA from 1 species